AGCGAACGCUGGCGGCAGGCUUAACACAUGCAAGUCGAGCGGGCACUUCGGUGUCAGCGGCAGACGGGUGAGUAACACGUGGGAACGUACCCUUCGGUUCGGAAUAACGCUGGGAAACUAGCGCAAUACCGGAUACGCCCUUUUGGGGAAAGGUUUACUGCCGAAGGAUCGGCCCGCGUCUGAUUAGCUAGUUGGUGGGGUAAUGGCCUACCAAGGCGACGAUCAGUAGCUGGUCUGAGAGGAUGAUCAGCCACACUGGGACUGAGACACGGCCCAGACUCCUACGGGAGGCAGCAGUGGGGAAUAUUGGACAAUGGGCGCAAGCCUGAUCCAGCCAUGCCGCGUGAGUGAUGAAGGCCUUAGGGUUGUAAAGCUCUUUUGUCCGGGACGAUAAUGACGGUACCGGAAGAAUAAGCCCCGGCUAACUUCGUG
rnacentral:rRNA from 1 species